GUGUCAGCAGCCGCGGUAAUACAGAGGUCCCAAGCGUUGUUCGGAUUUACUGGGCGUAAAGGGUGCGUAGGCGGUUGUUUAAGUCUGACGUGAAAUCUCCGGGCCUAACCCGGAAACUGCGUUGGAUACUAUUCAACUAGAGGAAUGGAGGGGAGACUGGAAUACUUGGUGUAGCAGUGAAAUGCGUAGAUAUCAAGUGGAACACCAGUGGCGAAGGCGAGUCUCUGGACAUUUCCUGACGCUGAGGCACGAAAGCCAGGGGAGCAAACGGGAUUAGAAACCCUGGUAGUCC
rnacentral:rRNA from 1 species